UAUGUAAUGUGAAUUGCAGAUCUACAGUGAAUCAUCGAAUCUUUGAACGCACAUUGCGCUCCUUGGUGUUCCGAGGAGCAUGCCUGUUUGAGUGUCAGUA
rnacentral:rRNA from 1 species